GGGGGACUCGCCCACCAGGCUCCCUGGGCUUCGCCUAUUGGGCGGCGGUGAAGCCAGACCAGAGAACCCCUGCUGUUCUGGGAGACCUGGGGGCCUCCCACUCCUCCCACACCGGUCUCCUGGCUUCAGCCUCAGCCAUACAAGUGCUUGCUGGUCAUUCACAGCACAUCCUGUCAGUCUGUCCAGUUACCCAAGCAGGAAGUGACGUCUCAUCUAAAACAGCCUCUAACAGUGAAUCACCUCAACAAACAGGUUUGGGGACAUCAUGAAUAAUGCUGCUGUGGACAUUGGAGGACAACUUUGUGUGGGAGAUCCGCACCAAAGAAAGCAGGUCUGGGAAGUGCUGGCCUCAGGCCCUCCGGCCCCGCGGGCUCCCCACCCGGGACGGUGACUCUUCGCUGCUAGCGAACCCGGGCCUCGCCAACCCUCUCUACUCGCUCCCUAGGCUGUCUCCCCUUCUCGAGGCGCAAGGAGGGCUCGGCUCCCGGACCCCC
rnacentral:lncRNA from 1 species